ensembl:lncRNA
UGUGAUUCUGGAUAAAAUCUUUGCACUUGAUGGUUCUGUUCUCUUAUUUUCAAAAACAGUAUUUAUUCUCCUUUGGAUGAUAAUGUUGUAUUUGAAGAGACACUGAAGCUGGCAAUGAGCAAUAUGCACAAUCUAGAUUUUACAGUUCCCUCUAUAUCUUGCCAAAACAAUUGCUGAUGAGAGGACAGGAAGCUAGGGUACAGUGGAAAAGACACAAACUCAUCUUUGUCAGAACCCAGGACUUCCAGAGCAGUAUCGCAGAAGUGUCCAAAUUGCUGAGAAACCACAGCGUGGAUAUACCCACUGAUUCUUCUGGCCAGAGAGGCAGCGUGGCCAACAGCUUUCACCCUCAGGGUCAAACAUGCAGGCUGCACUGGCAGUCGAUCCCCAAGCGACAAAGAAGUCCCCAUUCCUCACCUACCUGGUACAGACCGACAUAGACAUUAGUCCCAAGCAAAUGGCAAGGACUCCAUAGAAGAAGAAAAAUCAGCAUAAAAAGGAAAUACUGUUCACAUGAACAAGAAACUGAGAUUAUGGACCAAGCUAAUACCACCUGAACCUAUAAAAAUCCAAUAUAUUAACAGGCAUUCAGAGAACUUCUAUUACACAUAGCUGGACUACAGGUAUCCAGAGUGCCAAAUCAGGAGGGCAUCGUGAGGGAGACGAAAUGCUCAAGAGUCAGUGAGGGACUUGUUAUGGCUAUAAGAAAGCAUAGGCGUUUAAUAGUAUUUACUUAUCAGUUAAUAACAACUAAUUUACUUAAGUAGAACUAUGUUCUUGUCUACUUACACGGGUAAUCAAAGAAACAUGACAAGCAGCCACACAGCAUAGCCUAUACUUCUGUACUAAGCUGCCUAAUUCUUUAUAACAUCUAGACAUAUCCUCUUCACCUUCUCCCCAUGGUGAGUAUUCACUAGAACAAAAAAAGACAGAAGACAACAACUAGACUUCAAAGAAUGCAAAAUGGCUUUUAUUUUUCAUACAGCAUUUACUAUACAGCAUUUAUUCUUACAGCAUAGCUCUUCUUGAUAAAACAUGGUGUCAGUGCAGGAGUUUUAUGGGAGACUUGACAAAUUCUUGGAAGAAAUUCUCUGAAUAUUACAAUAAUGACAGAUUAUGAAGGUUUUAGAAAAUCCCCGAGACACAGAGUGGCAAAGAUACCUAGUGAAAUACAUGUAUGUGCUUGUUCUUGCACUUCUUUAGGCAUGCACUUCUAUGAACUGGGAAGAUGUAUCCUUGGUCUGAAACAGUUCAAAUGCUCUUAUCUACUUUAGUAUUUUGCCUUGCCUUUAUGCUAUUUCAUAAGAUACAUGGAUAAUUGUUCUGCACAGUACGGCUGAGAGGAAUGUGUUGUGGUACUUCUUAGAUAUGCCACAAAUGACAAAAUAUAUCUGAAAACUAUUUAGAAAUGUAAAAAAAAUAUGAAGCAGAUUUAACAAAAAAAGAAUGGACUUUGUUGUAUGAAAUACCAGAUGGAUUAAUUAUGACCUUGUUAGAAAUGGCCAAGCUCUGUAGUAUUCUUUAUUUCAGAAAAGCCCUGAAUCACAGAAUCAGAAUGGCUUGGGUUGGAAGGAACAUUAAAGGCCAUCUAGUUCCAAACCCCUGCCCUAGACAAGGUUGCCACUCACUAGAUCAGGCUGCUCAUGGCCCCAUCCAACUUGGCCCUGAGCAUCUCCAGGGAUGGGGCAACCACAGCUUCUCUGAGCAGCCUGUGCCAACGCCUCAUCAUCCUCUGAGUGAAAACUUCUCUCCUGUUAGCUAAUCUAAAUCUCUGCUUUUUUAGUUUAAAACCACCACAGGUACUAUGAGGAAUGGCUAGCCCAGGAUGCUGUUGGUAUGGGCUGCGAGAACACACCGCUGGUUCACACCAAGCUUUUCAUUCACUAAGACAUCCAAGUCCUUUUUCCCAAGGCUGCUCUCAGUGAAUUCUUCUCUGAGAAGAAGGGAGGGAUAGGAAUGUAAUUCUGCUGAAGAUCCAAAAGUGAUGUCAUUAAAAGCUAUAAUCAGAAAAAAAAAUGAUAGGAGUAGCAUCUUCUCUGUUAUUUUUCUCUACCUAAGAGAUUUCACUAUAAAUUCCUUCAUAUAGAAACAAUUAUUUGUAGAAUUGUUGAAGUUUUCAGUCUGAAAGCAAAAAGUGAGAUUUUUCAAAGUACAGGGGAUGUCUGUCUAAUCUUAUUUUAAUUCACUGUUGAAAAAUGUUAAUUAUUUUGAUUUUCACUUGUCUGUGUGCAAAGCCAUAAAAUUAUUUUGAGAAAUACAGUGUAUCUUGCUCUAAAUAAAAAUUACAAAGUUUUUUAGCACUACUUCUAAUGAAAAGAUUUUUUCAUAUUUUAAUUUGAAAGGUUGUUUAAUACUAUCAUUAGUUACAGUAGCCAAAUGAAGUGAUUUAGUGUUUCUACUGAUUAUCUAGAAAUAUGUAACUGUUGCUAAGGAAAAAUGACAUUUCUUCAAAUAUUAAGAUGAGAUGUGUACUUUGAUAAAGACCAAAAAUUCAAAUUCUGAAAUUUGAGAAAAAUCUACAUAUAUGUAUUUGCAAUGUUUUGAAGCAGAACUUCAGUCUCUGUUAGGCCCCAGUUGAGUAAUGCAGACAGCUCUGCAAACAAACUUCAUAGAUGAAAGGGUCAAAACAUUGAAGUGAUUCAACAAUUUCCCAGUAACAAAAGAAGCUAUGACCCUCCUGACAUAGCGAGUGAUGAUGUAUUUAGAGACUGAGAUGUUAAUAUAGAUUUAAAAAUUCUGCAAACACAUUAACUCAAGGGUAGCAACAAAUGUGUAUAUAUAUAUAUAUAUUACACUUAUGCCAAGGCCUGACUAGGUUUGAUAUGAUUUUUCAAUCAAAAAGUUCAAAGUUCCAUGAUUUAAGAACACAAACCAACAGCCAAGAGAUUUUAUCCUUCAACUUACUGACAGGUCACCCUGUUCACCUAGCAAAGCAAAUAUGCAUGCAAGCAACAACCUGACAUAAGAGAAAGGAUAAUACAAUAUCAAGUAUUAAAAUCCUCGAAACGAAAACUUUCUUUACCAGCAUGGAUAGGAUGAAAGUUGGUAAAGCAUUACCAUGGAAUUAGUCACAUCCUUCCAGCAAUGUUUUUUUUUUUUUUUUUUUUUCUUUUCUGAAAUUACUCAGUGUCCCCUCAGUCCUCCAUGUUGCUCACAAGAAAUUGAGAAGUCAAUGAAAGCACAAAUCCUCCAAGCUUUCAGUGCAUUACCACCUAAAUAAAAAAACUUUUAUUUGCUGGAUAGAUAGGGUGAGAGAUGUCUACUGAAAUACAGUUUGCCUUCAAAUGAACUAUAUAAGAUGACACUAUCUAUUUUUAUUAGACUUUUUAUGGUUGUAUCUCAGUGUUUCUGACUGACAAGGCUACUGUCAUAGAUAAGUGAAGGUAAGCACUUCAAUCACCCAGAGAUUCAAAGGUUGAAUAGCCAAACGGUGUCAUUACUGCUAUAGCAUUUCAGACUAGUUUCCCCAUAAAAAGAUCCAGUUCCAUCUGUAAAACUGCACCAUUCUACUAUUCAAAAUUAUUCUGUUGUAGACAUAAUGCUCUGUUGAUUCAGGUUUGAUUUUUACAUAUUUUCAGAUUUCCCAGUAAUUUUUUCUAGGCAAUUGUUAGAGCUAUGAUGGUUACACUGGGCCUCAGAAAUCAUAGUACAGCUAUUCAUGGGUUGAAAAUACUUCUGUUCAGUAUUUAAGGACAAUUUCAGUCUCUAGGGACAGCUGUAAUGGAGUAGUUGUAGGGUUUGUGAGGCAAAUAGGAGGUAGUUAUAGGGACUGGUAUGAGAAAUGUCAAUUGUGAAGCUGUGUAUAGAUAAUAGUAAGAUGAAGGGACAUGGAAGGGUGCAUAGAACUCAAUUAACUACGUGCCUUCCAUAGCUAACAGGCAAGCACUGCUGGCCAUAGACUGCAGGAGCUAUGCAAAGACACUUCACAAGCUAGCAAAGAGCUGCAGGUGGGGAUGUAUCAGGGCUACAAAGGAACACUGCACUACCCACUGGAUGUGCUGGAACUGUAUACGGCCAGAAAACGGCCUCAAUCUCCAUCUCGCCUGUCCCCUAAACACACAUCCCAACGCAGCAGAGGCGCGGGGUUGUUGGCAGGGUGGACUCAACCGCUCUGUUCUGCACUCACGACCGCCCCAGCCCCACCGGCUGCGCACAGCUCGAGGCCGGGACCGAGAUGAGGCGGAUGGAGGGAGACCGACGGGGCCCCAAG